rnacentral:RNase_P_RNA from 2 species
CAGGUCGGUUGGGCGAUCGCGGUCCUGUGUUUACGGGAUCGAGGAAAGUCCGCACUCCAUAGAGCACGGCGUCGGAUAGCACCCGGGGCGGGGAACCCUCCGUGAGGAGCUAACCUGCCGGACAAGGGCCACAGAAACAAACAGCCACCCUUACCCCCAUCCCCUCUUCCACUGGGAGAGGGGCGCAGGGGUGAGGGGGUGAUGGUGAAAAGGUGGUGUAAAAGACCACCGGCAUCUGCAGUAAUGUGGAUGGCCAGGUAACCCCCGCCGGGAGCAAGGCCAAGCAGGGACGAAGCCGUCUGCGGACGGCGGGAGACUGCUCGUCUUCAUACGUACCCUUUCACACGGUGAUUGGGUCAGUCCCGGGUAGGCCGCACCGAGCGGCGCGGCAACGCACCGCCCAGAGAGAUGAUCGCACAGUGGCGCUUUGGCGUCAUGGACAGAAUGCGGCUUAUAAACGGACCUGAGGU